GGCUCUGUGGCACAAUGGAUAGCGCAUUGGACUUCUAGAUAAUUUAAGGUAUUCGAAGGUUGUGGGUUCGAGUCCCACCAGAGUCG
rfam:Xenopus tropicalis strain Nigerian Chr06_contig_3189, whole genome shotgun sequence.